rnacentral:rRNA from 1 species
UUAAGAUAGUAAGAGCAUACGGUGGAUGCCUUGGCGAUAUCUGCCGAUGAAGGACGCGACAAGCUGCGAAAAGCUGCGGAGAGGUGCAAAUGACCUUUGACCCGCAGAUGUCCGAAUGGAGCAAUCCGGCUGUGGUUAUGCACAGUCACCCAUGCCUCAGAGUAUGGGAGGGAACCGGGCGAACUGAAACAUCUAAGUAGCCUGAGGAAAAGUAAUCAAACGAGAUACCCUAAGUAGCGGCGAGCGAACGGGGCAUAAGCCCAAACCGGAGAAGGAAACUUUUCCGGGGUUGAGGACCGUCAUACGAACGCGGAACUUAGCUGAACCUGUUGGGAAGCAGGGCGGAACAAUGUGAAAGCCAUGUAAGCGAAAAGCGAAGCGGAACAGACGGCACCAGAGUACCGCGGGACACGAGAAAUCCCGUGGGAAGCCGGGGGGACCACCCUCCAAGGCAAAACACAGAUAUCGACCGAUAGCGCAUAGUACCAUGAGGGAAAGGUGAAAAGCACCCCGGGAGGGGAAUGAAACAGAACCUGAAACCGUAUGUUUACAAGCAGUCGAAGACCGUAUAUAUAUCAGGUCGACGGCGUGCCUAUUGAAGAAUGAACCGGCGAGUUAUGAGGUCCAGCAAGGUUAAGCAGGAAAUGCGGAGCCGAAGCGAAAGCGAGUCUUAAUAGGGCGACAAGUUGGAUUGCAUAGACCCGAAACCACAGUGAUCUACCCAUGUCCAGGUUGAAGCACAGGUAAAAAUGUGUGGAGGACCGAACCUAUAUCCGUUGAAAAGGGUUAGGAUGAGGUGUGGGUAGGGGUGAAAUUCCAAUCGAACGUGGAGAUAGCUGGUUCUCCCCGAAAUAGCUUUAGGGCUAGCCUCGAGGUAGAGAUUGCAGGCGGUAGAGCACUGAUCAGGAGAGGGACCUACCCGGUUACCAAACCCAGUCAAACUCCGAAUGGCUGCAAUUAUACUCGGGAGUCAGACUACGACUUAUAAGGGCCGUGGUCAAAAGGGAAACAGCCCAGAUCAUCAGCUAAGGUCCCCAAUGCCGUGCUAAGUGGCGAAGGAUGUGGCAUUUCAUAAACAACCAGGAUGUUGGCUCAGAAGCAGCCACCAUUUAAAGAGUGCGUAAUAGCUCACUGGUCGAGAGACGCUGCGCCGAAAAUGUCCGGGGCUCAAGCACGGAACCGAAGCUAUGGCAGACGCAAGUCUGGGUAGGGGAGCGUUCUUAUAGGGAAGAAGCAUUACCGUAAGGAGAUGUGGACAUAUAAGAAGUGAGAAUGCCGGUAUGAGUAUCGAAAAGAAAGGUGAGAAUCCUUUCCACCGAAAGCCCGAGGGUUCCUGAGCAACGAUCGUCGACUCAGGGUAAGUCGGGACCUAAGCCGAGGCGAAGACGCAUAGGCGAUGGACAACAGGUUGAAAUUCCUGUACCGGAUAUGGCCGUUACCAGCGAUGGAGCGACGCAGAAGGGCACAUGAUCGCGCGACUGGAAGAGCGCGUCCAAGUGAGUAUGUUGGUGAGGAGGCAAAUCCCCUCACCUGAAAGCAGAGACAUGAUGGGGAGUUAAAGGCGACUUUGACGAACUCAUGGAUCCCACACUGCCAAGAAAAACUUCUAGCGAGGACAUAUCCGCCCGUACCGUAAACCGACACAGGUAGGCGGGGAGAGAAUCCUAAGGUGCGCGGGAAAACCCUCGUUAAGGAACUCGGCAAAUUGCAUCCGUAACUUAGGGAGAAGGAUGACCCUCUGUAGGCGAAGGGCAGAAACGCCCGGAACCGAAAAGGGUGGCAGAAAAGAGGCCCAAGCAACUGUUUACCAAAAACACAGGUGCCUGCGAAAGCGAAAGCUGAAGUAUAGGUGCUGACGCCUGCCCGGUGCUGGAAGGUUAAGGAGAGAGGUUAGCGUAAGCGAAGCUUUGAACUGAAGCCCCAGUGAACGGCGGCCGUAACUAUAACGGUCCUAAGGUAGCGAAAUUCCUUGUCGGGUAAGUUCCGACCCGCAUGAAAGGCGUAAUGAUUUGGGCACUGUCUCAACGAGGGGCCCGGUGAAAUUGAAAUACCUGUGAAGAUGCAGGUUACCCGCGACUGGACAGAAAGACCCCAUGGAGCUUCACUGCAGCUUGAGAUUGAAUCUCGGUGACAGAUGCACAGGAUAGGUGGGAGGCUGAGAAGCAUUGACUUUGGUUGAUGCAGAGCCGCUGUUGGGAUACCACCCUUCUGUUGCUGAGAUUCUAACACGGAGACUAACAACCUCGUGGACCAUCUCAGGCAGGCGGUUUGACUGGGGCGGUCGCCUCCGAAAGAGUAACGGAGGCG